UACAGAGGGGGCAAGCGUUGUUCGGAAUUACUGGGCGUAAAGCGCGCGUAGGCGGUGAUCUUUGUCAGAGGUGAAAGCCCGGGGCUCAACUCCGGAAUUGCCUUUAAGACUACAUCGCUAGAACUGUGGAGAGGUGAGUGGAAUUCCGAGUGUAGAGGUGAAAUUCGUAGAUAUUCGGAAGAACACCAGUGGCGAAGGCGACUCACUGGACACAUAUUGACGCUGAGGUGCGAAAGCGUGGGGAGCAAACAGG
rnacentral:rRNA from 1 species